CGUUUUCCCCCCUGACUAGGAGCUCAAGGCCAACUCACACACGGCCCCCGGGGAACUGUCUCCUAUUCCAGAUGGAAGAGGGCCAAGUCAUUGUGGGGUGGAUUCCUGGGAAAUUUUUCACUUCCUGAGUCUAGGGGUCCCGGCAGGAGUGGGCAGGGCUACGUUCAGCACCACAGGACUCAUCACGAGACAUAGAAUAAGAGGGGGUGGACACGAGAAGGAAGGAAGAGGAGAACAGUCUAUUUAGCAGACAGACACCAACAACCCUUCUGGACAAAGAUGAAUAAACAUCUUUGGGAUUGGAGCCGGGAAAUGUCCUGCAGCGUCUGGGCCGCUACCAACCUCAUGCUCUGUGAGGUUUUAUGGCGCAGGAGGAGCUGGCCUUGUGGACGUCGAGGAUAUUAACUGGGAAGAGCAGAGAAGCAGCGAGGGGGCCCUUACAGCCUCCAUUGGUUCAAGGUGCCUCAGAAAUGGCCACCUGUCUGUCCUCGACGGUCUCUGCCUCCAGCUGGGCUGCCAUUGUUUCGGGACAAGGAGAAGCAGGCCUGGAGGGAGCCCCCAGGCUGGCCAUAUUUCCUAUUGGUUACUCUCCCCCUUUCUGGAACUUUGACCUCUUAGAAUGGUGCCUGGCGCAUAGGGAGCACUCAGUCUUUGUUGAAUAAAUGAGUGAGUUACAACUAGGGCAAAAACAGGAUCUGCUUUCAGUGAGAAAAUGGUCCAUCAAAUACUAUGGUAAGAUUCAACCAUGAGCUGAGAGCCCCCCAUCUUGCCUCCUAGGCCAGAUUCAUACAGAAUAAGCACUGAGCCGUCGGAUCUGAUUGCCCCCCGUGGUCACAAAAAUUUGUGGCUUGGAAAGAAAUUUUCCCGGGUCCAUGGUGUUUUCACCAUGAGACAUCCAAAUUUAACAGACCUCAAAAAUAAAACCAGCUAAACCAUAAGGCAUUGUCCCUGUUUGCUGUUCAGUUGGUUCAAAUUUGAGGUCUGAGAUUAUUUUUGGUUCCCAUCCCUGAAUGAGCAACUUUUGCUUGAAUUCAGACUCUUUGGGAACUUAAUGUUUCUCAAAUGCAUAAACGAUUGUUACCCUGAUUUAGGGGGAGAUGAAGCAAAAUUCCCUUUACGUGAACACGCGUUGAAAAACUGACCCCCUGACUCUUCACUUGGAGUGUGGACUCCACACACACUCUGGUGAUCCACACAUGUCGGCGUCCCUCCCCACUGCACAUCGCCCCCUCACCCCACUUGCCUCCUCAGUCUCAGACAGGACACGUCCCACCCCUCCAAUUCUUGUCCCCACGGGUCCUGAGCCUGCCCUGCAGGGGGCUCCUAAUCAGCAUCUUUAAGUCCUCCCUGUUUUCCUCCUUUGCUCCGUGUCCCCGACCCAGUCCUCACCUGCGGCAGUCUGCUCGGUCUUCCGCCUCCAUCUGCCUGCCCUGCCCUCAACUGUCCUUCAAAUCCUAACAGAUUGCAUCUCCCACAAUCUAACCUCUUGCACUGUUUGUCACAGCUCUUUGUUCAAGAACAUAUCAUGAUUUCCUGUUGUCAAAAGAAAAAAAGAAACCUAACCUCACUUCCUGUGCAGUUUCCAAGACCCUCUUUUGAUCUGUCCCACGGGCCUUUCUGCUCUCAUCCUGGACCACUAUCCAACCGAUCUUUCAAGUUUAAACCUAAAUUCAAGGCCUUUGUGUAUUCACAUGGUGACCCCUCUCAAACCAUCACAGGUCUUCCCUGCCUCCUUUGGAACGAUUGGGUCAUUUCUUAAUUCAUAUUCACUGAGUUCUGGGCCUUAGGGCUAGAGGAGUAGAAUCAGGUCUCUGCCUUCAGCUGGAAGAGACAGGUGGUCUCGCUAUGCAGGUCAGCCCCUUCUCACCUCCUUCCACCACCAUGGCUCUUUCUCUGUUCCCCCAGGGCCAGGGCGCUUGCUGUCCCAUCACCAAAGCUCUUCCUCCAGGUCAUCUAUCCACAGCUCCCUGUGCUGGCCUCUAUUAAAACUGCACCUCCUACCCCCUCCCCUGGUUUCUUCUGCGGGAAUUGGCACCAUCUGAAAGACCAUGUAUUUUAUGUGUUCACUUACUAUUUUCCCUCCCACUCGUUUGGUUUGCUGUGGAACACUCAGCACCAAGAACCCUGCCUGGGUCAUGUUGAACUUUUUCAAAUAUAUUAUGUGCGUUGAGGUGGAACACAGGCACUGGUGAGUAGCAGAGCCUAGGAAGGAAACCCUGACCCCAGCCAUUGGCCAGACCGAGCCCACAAAUCUCAUUGGGUCAGGUGACAGCUGCAAAGUGAGCCACUCAGGGCAAACCUCUCUGCCUUACAAGACACGUAUCCUGUCACAGUUGGCCUACCUCUUGUGACAGUAGUACGUAUGAGGGCUGCUACCGUGUGGCCUUCUUUGAAUGUGCAGCACCAGGCACAGAGCACAGGCCAAGUGUAGGACUCAUAGCAGCAGGUUUGAGACCUCCCCUAUAAGCACUGGCCCUUUGAAGUCCAGCUCAGCUGUGUCCAACCUCAGCUGGGCACAUACUCCUCAAAUGUGUACGUGAAUUUUUAAAUUAUAUAUGACAGGUUGGAACCAUCUCAAAUAGUCGAAUGUCAGCAACUUCACGUGGUUCAGCUUAAUUCACGUUGAACUGUGCUAAUGGAAUACAUUUUAAAAACAGACAUAGAAAAAGAAUGAGUUUAAAACAUGUACCAAAUAACCAUGCAAAGAUGGUCAACAUCACCAAUCUUUGGCAGACACGGUGCCUCUAGUAAUUUUUAUAUUUUUCCGUCCAAACCUGUUCCUGAAUCUAUGUAACCAUCCCUUACUUGCAGUAAAUUGGCUUAGUGUCACUUGUCUCGGGGUCCCUUGCUGAAGUCUUCCUAUAGGCUCAAUGCUUUCUGGCACAACACAGGGCCAUCAAUCGAAACACACUCUCAUGUCUCCUGCCCACAAGUUUAAUGUCUUUCCCAUCUUAAUUAGCACUAUCACACACUGUGCCCUUAACUCUUGCAGUUUGAGGUGUGACAGGUAUACAUACUAGCAUUUCUUUUUUCUUCUUCACAAUUUCACAGAUGGAGGAUUUGAUUUGUACUUAUCAUAGAAGUUAACAGACUCAGUAUGCAAUUAUUUUCCUUUCCCUAUUAGGUCGAGAACUUUUACCUUUUCACUGAAAGGAGGCACUUUAUGGCUUCUCUUCAGCAUAUUCAAAUUGCCAGCAUCACUACUCUUGUGCUUUGGGGUCAUUAAUGAGUUAUUUGAUCAUAAGCAUGGUGGUUCUGUGGCAGUUGAUCUGGUAACUGAGAGGAGCACUGCAUGACUAAUGGGGCAGGGGGCAUCGACAGGGUGACGUUGGACGGAGAUAAUUCACGUGCUGGGUGGGAUGGAGCAGGACAGCAAUUUCAUCACGCUACUCAAAAUGGUACGCAAUUUAAAACAUUUAUUUCUGGAAUUUUCUAUUUAAUUUCGGAUUGCAGUUGACUGAGGGUAAAUGAAGCCAUGAGUAAAGGGGGACUUACCCAAAAGAGAUAUUUGCACACCAAUGUUCAUAGCAGCAUUAUUCACAAUAACCAAGAGUGGGAGCAACCCAGCUCUCCAUCCAGGGACGAAUGGAUAAACCUAACGUGGCAUAUACACCCAGAUGAAUUAUUCCGGCUUAAAAAGGAAAUUGUGAAACGUACAACAUGGAUGAACUGUGAUGACAUCAUGCUUAGUGACAUAGGCCAGUCACAGAAAGACAAAUAUUGUAGGAUUCCAUUUAUCUGAGGCAUCUAGUCAAAUUCACGGAAAUAGAAAGUAGAAUGGUGGUUGCCAGGGGCUAUGGGGAGGAGGGAAUGGGGAGUUAGUGUUAAAUGGGUAUAGAGUUUCAGUUUUGCAAGAUGAAAAAGUUCUGGAGAUCAGUGUGAAUGUACUGAACAGCACCAAACUCUGCACUUAAAAAUGGUAAAGAUGAGAAAUUUUAUGGUGUGUAUUUUGCAACAAUUAAAACUAAAAAAAUUUGAAGAUGAGAGUCCAUAGAUUCAGAGAAAAACAAGUUAAAUAAACUUGUGCUCUCUAUAAUAGGGCAGUUAAAAAAUCUUAAACUGUACAAAUUCUGUACUCUAGUUUCUUGCCACCUCCCAAAGUGUCCUCUUGAAAGCUGCACACCUCAAAGGCCAAAGCACCCAGCAAGACUGUGUCCCAGCGUCCCCAAUCCCUCCACCAAGCCACCCUCCCACCCUGGCUUGAGGAUUUACAAAAAGGGCCACUUCACCAACUUUUCCAAUUAAGUUUUAUUCUAGAACAGUCUUACAACAAUGCUGAUUUAAUACCCAGGACAUUUCUGGAACACUGGUAACAGCUCCAUCUUCCUUCAACUCGCAGACAAAAGAAUUGAAGCUACUGCUCAGCUGUGAGUUUGGCAUCAGCUAUGAACUCUUAA